GAUGAAGAACGCAGCGAAAUGCGAUAAGUAAUGUGAAUUGCAGAAUUCAGUGAAUCAUCGAAUCUUUGAACGCGCCUUGCGCUCCUUGGUAUUCCGAGGAGCAUGCCUGUUUGAGUGUCAUGAAAUUCUCAACCUUUUCAGCUUUCUUUGUUGAUCAGGCUUGGAUGUGGGAGUAUGCGGGCUUCUCAGAAGUCGGCUCUCCUGAAAUGCAUUAGCGGGACCUUUGUUGCCUGGCUUUGGUGUGAUAAUUAUCUACGCCAUUGUAGUCAAGCAGCUUAAAAAGAGGUUUCAGCUUCUAACCGUCUCCCCUGAGACAACUUUUUGACAAUUUGACCUCAAAUCAGGUAGGACUACCCGCUGAACUUAAGCAUAUCAAUAAGCGGAGGA
rnacentral:misc_RNA from 1 species